ACCGAGAGGAGCAAAAGACCUGCUAACUCUUUAAUCUGACAAAU
rnacentral:tRNA from 1 species